CCAAGGGGUUGUUGUGAUCGCCGUCGACGGGGAGGUCGAGGCGUCAGUGCUAGGGGCUCCGGUGGUCACAGCGGCCAGGGGCGGGGAGAAGGGGCCACUAGAGGAUGAGAUUGCGGUGUGCCGGAUAGAAUCUCUCCAUGGGGCUAUGGUUAUCACCACGACACCACAGGAGCAGGAAGCGGUUGGAGUGAAGGACCCUGAAGGGGUUGCCAUGCGGAAAAUGUGGCGGCCACGGCAACCGGUGAAGGCGCCCCUGAAAGCGGUGCGAGUGAAAGACGCCCAAGGGGUUUCUGUGAUAGUUGUCGACAGGAAGGUCGAGGAAUCAAUCCUAGGGGCUCCAGUGGUCAUGGCCGCUAUGGACAGGGAGAAGGGGCCAAUGGAGGAUGGGGUUGCGGUGUGCCGGAUGGACGCUCUCGAUGGGUCUCCAGUUAAGACACGACUGGAACCGGUCGGAGUGAAGGACGCCGAAGGGGUUGCGGCGGGGAAAGUGCGGCGGCCACGACAAACGGUGAAGGCACCACUGGAAGCUAUGCGAGUGAAGGACACCGUAGGGGUUGCGGCGGGGAAAAUGUGGCGGCCACGGCAACCGACGAAGGCACCACUAGAAGCUAUGGGAGUGAAGGACGCCAUAGGGGUUGCGGUGAUCAGCGUCGACAGGAAGGUCGAGGAAUCAAUCCUAGGGGCUCCAGUGGUCGUGGCGGCCGGGGGCGGUGAGAAGGGGCCACUGGAGGAUGGGAUUAUGGUGUGCCAGGUGGAUGCUCUCGAUGGGGCUCCGGUUAUGACACGACAGGAAGCAGUCGGAGUGAAGGACGCCGAAGGGGUUGCGGUGGGGAAAAUGUGGUGGACACGAAAACCGGCGAAGGCAUCACUAGAAGCUUUGGGAGUGAAGGACGACAAAGGGAUUGCGAUGAUCACCGUCGACCAGAAGGUCAAGGCAUCAGUCCUAGGGGCUCCAAUGGUCGUGGCAGCCGGGCGCGGUGAUAAGGGGCCACUGGAGGAAGGGAUUAUUGUGUGCCAGGUGGACGCUGUUGAUGGGGCUUCGGUUAUCGCCAUGACACAACAGGAAGCGUUGGGAGUGAAUGACACCGAAGAGGUUCCGGUGGGGAAAAUGUGGUGGCCACGACGCCUGGCGAAGGCAACACCGGAAGCUGCGGGUGUGAAAGAUGUUGAAGGGGUUGCGGUGAUCGCUGUCGACGGGGUGGUCAAGCCGUUGGUGCUACAGGUUCCAGUGGUCGCGGCAGCCGAGGGCGGGGAGAAGGGAUCACUAGAGGAUGGGACUGUGGUGUGCCAGGUGGACACUCUUGAUGGGGCUCCGGUUAUCGCCACCGAUGAGAAGGAAGAGAUCUCGGUGCAAGGGAAUCCGGUGUUCUCCGCCGUUGACCAGAAGGUCGAUACGCCGGGGGUGGAGGGGGUGCAGGCGAUCACUAUGAAGGGGAAUGGUAAGGAGGAUAAGGAGGGGAUCAAGUGGUUGAAACACUACUCCACGGCACAGAGCAUACUCAUGGUUGGAGACGGGGACUUCUCCUUCUCACUAGCGCUUGCCACCACGUUCGGCUCAGGCUGGAACCUCGUCGCGACAUCCCUAGACUCUUACGAGGCUCUAACGAGCAAGUAUGGCAAAGCUGAAUCUAAUGUAAGAGAGCUGAAAAGAUUGGGGGCCACAGUUUUGCAUGGCGUCGAUGCAAAAAAGAUGAUGCUUCACUCAUAUCUAGAGACGAGACGAUUCGAUCGCAUUGUCUUUAAUUUUCCUCAUGCUGGGUUCAAUGGAAGAGAGAAUUGGCUGCGUGUCAUCAAGGCGCAUAAGCAGCUGGUGCAUGGGUUUUUGGCAAAUGCGCGGCAGCUGCUUCGGCCCUAUGGUGAAAUCCACCUUAGCCACAAGACAGGACUUCCUUACGAUGCAUGGGAUAUCGAGCAACUCGCCUACAAGUCUUGUCUUAUCAUGGUUCGGAAAGUUGAUUUUUCUAAGGAAGACUACCCUGGUUAUAACCAAAAGAAAGGAGAUGGUGUAACAUGCGAUGAAUCUUUUCCACUAGGUCCUUGCUGCACUUUUAUGUUCUGCGUCGAAGACGUAGAAAAGCUGAAGCAAGCGCAUGGAAACAGGGUCGGUUUGAUCUCAUCAUGCCUUGGUGGCAGCAAAUUCUAUCCUGGCAUAUCGGCAACUGACAUGGCGUGGCCAUUUGAUCUGCAUCCAGCAUGGCCUCAGCCACAUUUUCCUCCACUUCACUUGCCAAUAGCAUUUGAUCCUUGCCCCUUUGGAGCUGCUGGAAUGGAAUAUCCAUUUGACUGUUAUGGCACUUCCUUUCAUCACCAGGACAUGGUUCAGCCAACACAUCAGCAGCAGCAGCCUUGGUACCAAGUGGGACCUCCUCCAAUUGAGCAACCAUGGACACCCCAAGAACAACAGAGUCUGCAAAGGGGGUACGAAAUUCACAGGCAACUCACGCCGUCCCUUGAAGAUCGCUACAUGGAAUCUGUUGAGAAGCAGGCGAUGUUUGAAAUGUUGAUUCAAGUCUAUGGCAGACAGUGAAUUCAGGACCCUUCUCCUUUUGGAGGCUGUGUCUCUGCUACAAGGGUUCACUAGAGCAGAGAAUACAAGGGUUCACUAGAGCAGAGAAACCCUGACCUAUGGAGACACAGUAUCUUCAGGAAAUAUACCAAGGCGCAAGAGGCAAGUUUUCAGAAGAGAAGGCAGAUCAAAGUAAACAACGAGUUCGAUGCUCUAGCGGGGUUUAUUGUGGUUGCAAGGCGGAUGUCGAUGGUGGACAUCAGUGGGGAAGCAGUGAAAGAACACCACUUUGAUGCUUGAGUCCACGUAACAUGCAGGGACAACGCUAGAAAAUAAUUCCUAUGGUGUCACCGCUAUAUCAACGACGUCUUCUAUGUAAAUAAACAGUGAUUAGUGUGAAAUUAAUGAAAAAAAUUCAAAAAUCAUUGGUGUCAAUUUACACCAUUUCC